rnacentral:misc_RNA from 1 species
GGAAAAGGUCGCGAUCGUAUUUCUGUCCAAAGAGCACCCAGAAAAAACAACAGAUAAAAAAUGGCAUAAAAAAUCCCAUAAUAUUGUUGUCUUGAUUAAAUGCAUGCACAUGAAGCAUGACAUCAGCACCACCAUCCACUAAACCAAAAAGAAUAAUUCUUUAAGGAUCACUAAAUAAGCAGGUAAUAUUUCAUUUCAAAUGUGAUUUUUUUAUAAAUAAUUUGGAGCUGGGGGAGAGGGGGUUAUGGUCCAGCUAAGUAUGGUGUCUAUCAUGUUCAAUGGUACUAUCAUGGAUAAUACUUUUUGCUUCAAACUACUUGUUGCAUACGGUAGAUAUAUUUAUAAACUGAGACAGGAUCAAGAUGAAUAUUACAAAGGUAGGACUAUGAGUUGUAUGACUUUCUGAAUUGGAAGAUUUUAAUUAAAAGCCUAGAGUAGCAUAUAAAUGACCACUCUAGAGAAUUGCACCUGAACUAUGCACUCCCAUUUAAACCCAAGAACAAUGGCCAAUGCACUAUGAAAAUAUCCCUUUUUCUUACUAACAAAUAUCAUUUGAUAUGUAGAAUGAUUUGCAAGCCACAGAUGAGAAAUGGAAGGUAGCACCAUUACUGAUGCACUCAAUUGAGUGAAAUUUGGAAUUACAUUGUGCUACUUUAAAAUCUGAUGGUGAUUUCAUAGCAAUCCAAGGGGUCAUUUAGACAGAAAAUGUAUACAUAAACAUUUUAAAGAAAUGGGGGAACUAAAGCUCUCAUGGGAGCCACCAUGCAUUAUUGUACUUAAAAGCAGCAUUUCAUCGCAAAGCCAUCUGAGAUGAAAUCAUAAAUAAGGACAAAAAUUAAUCCAAGGAACAGCAAAAUGUACCUUGGUGGAGUCUCCCAGCAAGUU